UACAGAGGUGGCAAGCGUUGUUCGGAAUUACUGGGCGUAAAGGGCGCGUAGGCGGCCUUCUAAGUCAGACGUGAAAUCCCCCGGCUUAACCUGGGAACUGCGUCUGAUACUGGGAGGCUUGAGUAUGGGAGAGGGAUGUAGAAUUCCAGGUGUAGCGGUGAAAUGCGUAGAUAUCUGGAGGAACACCUGUGGCGAAAGCGGCUCACUGGACCACAACUGACGCUGAGGCGCGAAAGCUAGGGGAGCAAACAGG
rnacentral:rRNA from 1 species